rnacentral:rRNA from 1 species
CGGUGUGCUGGCUCGUUUUAGGAUUGAUGAGGGAGCGUUAAAAGAGGUGGAGAGGACUAGCACAUCAGGUGUGGGCAGGAGUAAGGGGGGUAGAGAGGGCUCGGCCGCGGACGUGCAAAAGGAGAGGGUAGGUAGGGAGAGUGGAGGGGGGCGGAGAGAGGUUGCUAGAGAGCUGGCAGCGCCGUCUCGGCCGUGGAUUGAUCGGGUGGAGAUGGAGUUGCACACCCGUCUCGGCCGCGCGCGGAUGGUAUCUAGGCUACCGGAACUCGAGGUGGUAGUGGUUGUCCCCGCCGUUACUGCCUCCUGACUGCCCUAGACCACCGGACUCGUGCUACCAUAGGUACUCAUCUCCAGCCGGUAGUCUAGACCACAUCCGAGUAGAGCCCGGCCGUCGGUGCGUCUAAGCCAACUAGGGAGAGAACCUUGAGGCCGUCCAAGGAGAGGAGUAAAGAAAGAGUAAAAGACGUAGAAACAAGUCCAACAUGCUUGAAGAGCGUCGAGUGUGCCAUCGACUGGAGCUCGAACUGAUCACUAGCCUCAACCUGAUACGUCUCAACCGUGGGGACGUAACUGCUGAACCUGCAGGCAGCAGCAGCUCGAGGUCGUUUGAAGUAGAAGGAGACACCACUCGAUCUGUUACAGCUGACGUGCGAACGGCUGUCACCGGAGUUGCUGCCUCGGUAGUACCAUUGACCAUUCUUAGAGAAACUACACGUAUCAACCGGAUGUAAGAGAGUAUCGCCAAUCACACUUACGGUGAGAACAACUAAAAACAGGAGACUUAAACUUUUUAUGUUCUUGCACACAGUGAAACAAACGAGUGCAAACCGUGACUCGGGCAUAGAAACACGAAUCUAAACAUUACUCGUAAAUCCACAUGAGUGCAAACUUUCCACGAUGACGUAUUCGUAAAGACUACCGAAAAUCGGUGGCAGUUUAAUAAAAUCCAUCGGACUUUGACAACGACUUGUACUGUAAUAGAUACUGAAUCAUUCCCUCCCCCUUAGGAACUGGACGUCUACGUACUCAACUUCGCAUGAAAUAUAUGAUUACAGUUUAUAGGAAGCUAAUAUUCUUGACAUGAACUUGCAGGUAUGACGUUAUUGAUAUGAGACUUGCGUAUGAUAUCAUUCCCUUGAACACGAAUCCACGGUAAAAAGAACACCCGUAGACCGUAGAGAUGGCAUACUCGAUUAAAAAUUACAUAUAUGUAUACUAAAAAAACGACGUCCAAAACGGUAUCGAACAAUUAGUAUAAUUAUAAGUGGACACGUACGACUGGAGAAGUUGAAAGUAAUAAAACAACUGUAUAAACACAACAAGGGAUUACGCCUAGUACUUAAUACCACUUUGACAUCGUUCAACUACAGAAAACUUCUUCACAUAAAGACUUCGAAUCACACUUCUGAAGUGUUAGAAUAAAACAAAGAGAUCUAUUAUAUAUGUUACAUUGAUCUUCGAUCAAUAUAAGAGUAAAUGAACAAGGUAACAGAGUCUUAAAGUUACAUAA